AAAACAAAAUAGGGAAUUAGAAAUCAUGGUUAUCAUCCCCAAAGCAUUCGUUGGAUCCUUAUUCUUUUCUCAACACUAUUACUUGUUAAUUUACUCAUCUAAUUAAGGUAAAUAACUACCUGAAUUUGAAGCACAACAUAAGUCAUUUGAAUAGAAAUUUGUGAGGUUAUUCCAUGUUAUAAAUAUCCCAAAAUGGCAGGACAUCAAUGCAUGUGCCUUAAUACCUAAAGAGUAUAGUGUGUAUAAACUUCACUACUACACAAAGAUAUACAUAUGAAUAGCACAACUUCAUCUGGUGAUAUUCAUAGCACUAUAGCACGCUCUAUUGCAUGCUAUUACUACCUUCGGCAUUGUAUAUAAGAAGAUUUUUGGAGUUUGUGUUAUAUUUGUAAGCAGAAGUCACAAAUUACUUUGAUAUCCUUAGAAAUGCAUUUAUUUCACAUAUGAGCAGGUAUGAAAACAUUAAAGUCAGAGUUAUAUUAUGAAAAAAAAUUCAAAAUUAAGACAUUAAAUGAACCUCCUCGGACUUGAUUAUUUUGUUUUUUUUCUUCUUUCUAUAGGACAAAAGGGAGUAAUGACUAUGACCGUCAUAUGUUUCACCAUGAGUUCUAAAAGCUCAAAGCACUCUUCCCAUGGGACCCAUGGUGUUUUUAACAGUUUCAUGCAGCAUGCCCUACUGAAAAGCAUAUGUGCUAUGAUUGAAUUGAUGAUCAUUGCCACACCACACACAACCUGACUUAUAACAGAGAAGUAACUUCUGCCCAAAUAACACCCAACUACAAUUUCCCCUGUUUAAACCUCACAUUCAGGGGCGGUUCUAAGGCCCGGCGACCCCGGGCACUUGCCCGGGCUCCGGGCCAAAUUUUUUGCAAUUUUUUGUGUAAAUCCCUAUGAAUUUCUUAUAUAAACCCCUAUAAAUUGGGCAAUUUCUUUACAUUUUUUAUUAUUUGCUUGCAAUUUCUUAUGUACGCCCUAUAAAUGUGUGGCAAAUUUUUUUUUGCCCGGGCUUUACAAUAUUCCUGGCUCUGCCACUGCUCACAUUUAUCUUAGUUCCCUUUCCUCUGCCUUAUUCAAAAGUUGUCUUGGUUUGUCAUGUGAUGCUUGUACACCCUGUUUUGUUAAAAGAUUUUAUAUAUAUAUAUAUAUAUAUGAAAGACCUUAGCAAUAAUUCCAAACUAGUAGAUUCCCCUUACUGUAACAUUGACAAGGAACGCUAAAAUAUUCCUUUGACAGCCAAUAGACACCGUAAGCAUAAAUUUAAAAAGAUUGCUGAUUUGAAAUCAUAACUACAAGUUUCUCUCUUGUUACUGGGAACCUGCAAAGGUUUAACUUUAGCUUGUGUAAGUGAUGAGAAACUCUACAUAACAACUUCCCUCAUCCAAAUUAAUGGAACAGUCUCGCCAGACCCAAUAAGUUAUCCCCCUCAUAUAACCUCAACAUUUAUACCACUACAACAUUAAAGUGUAACGAUAUAGGGUUAUCAUAGGCUAUUGUGGACCUGUCUACACCAUUAGUUUUCCAUCGACUUUUAGCUAGUACAUAUUAUAAAUUCCAUAGAUAUGUAAUGUGAAGUUUGAUGGUACCAUAGCUUGUAUACAUAAGUUUUGUCAAGUAAAUACUUUGUCGUAGGUAACAUCCAUACCAUGGGAGCAUCUAAUUAGUAGAAGUUAUUUCAACUUAUCUUAUUAUAUAAUAGUAAGUACUUGUGUAAGUAUUUGGAAGAGCCUAUGGAUACCAUACCAUAAGCUAUUUUCAGCUUAUCUUUACGAACUAGCUUAUAAAAACAACUUAAACAGAACUUACAUUAAGUCCUCCUUAUUCCCUAUUCAAUCGUCAAAACAGUUUACACUUAACAGAUAACCACAUGCCCAUUAAGCGAUUAUUGAAUUAGUGUUUAACUAAACGGUCGACUAAAACACCCCCCGUACACCUUGUUUUUAUUGAGAAUUGCUUACAGCCUUAACCUACAAUGAGAAAAUGAGAGCAUUCAUCGCAACCAAAUUAAUAUGAGAAGAAUGAUACAUACGAUU
rnacentral:lncRNA from 1 species